GAAGACCAACAGUAACAAUGUGACCAUGCCAAACAACAGACGCCAUGCUUCUAGACUGAUGCAAAAUAACAUUAGGAUUCAAGAAGCUCUCAAGCAAGAGGAUCACUUUUGUUUUUAGCUGACAUUCCUGUGUUACAUCUAAUUAUAAUAAAAACAUUGUUAUUAACUUUUAUUGUGAUGUAAAAAAAGGCUAACACUGUUUUUAACUGACUUUAAAAUAUAGGAGGCAGUUCUCAAUUCAAAUGUAUUUUUAUAAUAAACACAAACAAAAAAAUA